GACGAACGCUGGCGGCGUGCCUAAUACAUGCAAGUCGAACGCAGUGGGGACGGGUGAGUAACACGUGGGUAACCUCCCAUCAGAGGGGAUAACACUUGGAAACCGGUGCUAAACCGAUACUGAUGGAUGGACCAGCGGUGCAUUAGCUAGUUGGUGAGGGAACGGCUCACCAAGGCCAAGAUGCAUAUCCUACCUGGAGGGGUGAUCUGCCACACUGGGACUGAGCCACGGCCCAAACGCCUACGGGAGGCAGCAGUAGGGAAUCUUCGGCAAUGAACGAAAGUCUUACCGAGCAACGCCGCGAGAGUGAAUAAGGUUUUCGGAUCGUAAAACUCGGGUGUUAGAGAAGCGGUAUCUAACCAGAAAGCCACGGCUAACUACGUGCCAGCAGCCGCGGUAAUAC
rnacentral:rRNA from 1 species